GCGGUCUCGACUGGUCAGGGGUUGCCUGAGGGUGCUAAUUCCCUCACACUCCCAGGUGCACCACACACCAGCAUGGCUGAGUGGGCUCCUGCCAGAUGCCAGGUGGAGGUGGUAGAGAACCAGGCAGAGCUGAGACACGGUGUGUCAGGCCACACCUGCUCAUGGCCAGUCACCACAGCAAUAGCUGUAGCAAAACAGUGGGCCCAGAGCGUGUGAGACGGGGAUCAAGAGACCAGAGCUCGCAACCACAGCAACUCUAGAAGCUGGGAAGCAACAAUUCAUUCUAGACUCCACCCCUACUGCCAAGGAGGCAACCGCAAAGUGUGCUGCAGUCCUGAAGACCCCUGCUCGACUUGAGGUAGGCUUGAUACCUUGUGUGUGGAUCACACCUCAGCGUCAGUGCCCAGUGUUAAAC
rnacentral:lncRNA from 1 species